rnacentral:rRNA from 1 species
CCUGACGGUAGUCGCAUGCUCGUCUCCGAGACUAAGCCAUGCAAGUCCAAGUACACGUCCUUGAACGACGGAAACUGCGAACGGCUCAUUAAAUCAGUUGCGAUCUACUCGGCGUUCCGCGCCGCCGGAUAACCGUAGUAAUUCUAGGGCUAAUACGUGCGAAGCGCCCGAAGCCGCGAGGCGACGGGCGUUCUCGCCGGAUGUAGGAACCGACCCGGGGACCGCCGGGGCAACCCGGCGCCCCCGAGACGGGGCGAACCACGGUGAAAUGACGGAUCGUCGGCCCCGCGCCGGCGACUCGCCGAAUGAGUUUCUGACCUAUCAACUCGAGACGGCGGGGUAGAGGCCCGCCGCGGUAACGACGGGUAACGGGGAAUCAGGGUUCGAUUCCGGAGAGGGAGCCCGAGAAACGGCUACCACUUCCAAGGAAGGCAG